rnacentral:lncRNA from 1 species
UCGGCGACAGAUUGCGAGCGUCGACAACUUCAACUAUCAGUUUGUGUAGAGUUGCCAUGACUGUUGGAACUUGGUAAGUAUCAGCUUAUAAUUGGAAAUGAAUUAACUUGUAUCUUCUUCACAUCAUACCUUACUUUCAAGUAAUGACUAUCAUGCUUUACUUUCAAGUAAUGAGAAAAAGAAGAGGAGAGGAGUAAUCAUGAUAAAAUGGGAAACACAAGGAAGAGAGUGUAGUGUAGUGGGAUUCCACUUGGGGGGUGGGUGUGCAAGGGAAAGAGGAAAAAGUGCUUAAAACUUCAUCCCCAAGGGCCAAAGGCCAAGGGGGCUUUAUUGUUUCUUGAUUUUCAAGAAGCUUUAGACUCUUGAGGCCAAAGACAAACAUCCAUGUCUCCUUUUCUUGGUAAGAUAAUAAUACUUUUCUUUUAUAGACUGAAGAUUCUGUCUCUCAGUUCUCCUUUUCCCUUUGCCCAUUCCAUCUCAAAUCAAUAUUUUAAAUUUAGAGGUCUUAUUUGAAGCAAUAAUAAUAUGCUUUAUGGCUUCAGGAGAGUGGGGUGCUGCCAAGUGAUGGCAUGCUUUUUUCAAAGAUGAUUUGCUUUUGUGUCACCGACCGCGGGGCGUGUUGCUUUUUAUCAUAACUGGAAAUUUGACAAAGAUGACACCCAGCUAGACACUACCUAGCAAGUCCCGUUCAUUGGAACAGUACAGCACAGAUAUUCAAGGUAAAUGAAUGUUAUUUCUCCCCCCCCCCCCCCAAAAGUAAAAGUUCGUGUGGUUUGGGACAAAACACAAUAUGCACCCACUAUUCCUUAGUCACGGGUCUAAAUUGGAGUUUCUAUUGACUAAAAGACCAACUGAUACCCCACAACGAUUAUGAAGAACAACAAUACCCCACAAGUCGUGUGUCGAUGGUUGAAAACUAGAGCGAUAUUAGAGCCGAAUUGUUUAAAACUAGCGCGAAAUCUUUGUGUCGAAUCCUACAAACCAGAGUAUGAUAGUUGGUCGAGCACAAGAUGAGGCUAAACCCUAAUCUUAUACCCGACCACCAUGGUUUCAAAUUGGAGUAGAGAAUUUUAGGAAGAAACUUUGGUUCGAAGAGAACUAUUUCUCUAUCGACUUCAAAAAGAGAGACUAUAUUCGAGGGGUAAAACAGUAAUCAAGUCUAUAAUAUGUACUGCAUGAGUUGGAGUUGCUUAAUCACUUUAUUUAGCAUUUUGCUUUUUUUAUUAGAACUUUUUUGGUGCUGGAAAAAUGAAAAAGGACCAAUAGAAAUGGUAGGAAAGAGAACGAAGAGAUCGAGUAGUGGGAGGUAAGAAAAGGAUUUAAGGUGCUUAACUUAAUCUCCAAGGAGGUAUACUAUACACCAUUGGAUUGAUGAUCUCCCAAGAGAUAUAUAAUAAAUUUUAUUAUAAAAUUUUAUCCUUAGUUUUUAAUCUUUUGCUUGAUACCAGAAUGGAUACUUUUGUUUUGUGAAAUUCUACUGAAACCCUCUAAUUUUCUCGCUGACUACACCCCAAUUCCUUUUCGUUCAUUUAAAUUUCAAACAUACUCCAUUUAAAAAACAGAAGAACUCAACUGCAUGCCACCAGGGACUUCCCCAGUGGAAAAGAUCUUAGGUUUGAACUUUCAUGAGAUCUUAGUUGAGUGCGUAUGUAAAAAAAUUUCAUCUCUUAUAGUUUAGACUAUCACUUGUACUAAAAAUAAAAAUAAAAAUAAAAAUAAAAUAACUCAACGGCAUAUGUGGUGUUGAUGCGAAAAAGUGGUUUGGCACUUUAUCGGGCUCAACUUAGUGAUGUUUGGGCCUUCGGUAUGCUUGGGCCUCGAUGUAGCGCGAGAUCUGCAAGAUAACAAACGCUCGGUAAGACCUCAGGCACCGGUGUGGUACCAGCCGAAGGCUCUCCAAUGCUUAAGUAAGUACGGAUUUAGCAAUGGAUGUGAAUAGAUCCAAAGGCAGUAUACCGAAAGUUCAAAUUACCUCCCUUUUGAGAAAUUGUGCUCCUUUUAUAAACUUUGGGAAGUGUGCAAGUUGUGUAGAAUUUCGAUGUGGGACUAUAGACAUUCACUGUGGAUACGCUACGUGCCCAGUGGGCAUUUGUGUUUUGUAUUGCAAUCGGUAUGCUUGGGUGCCAAGAGCUUCCCUGCCGAUGCCAAGCAUUGUCCACGUGUUCAGCCUUAAUUGGUCGCUGAUUCUGGUAUCAACAUGUGGCUUAACACCAGCAACGCGAGAGAGAAAGCAGGUUAAUUCAUCACCUGUUGCUGGCAACCAAUGUCUUACAUAUUGACGGAAAUGUAAGUGGAAAAAACAAAGGGAAAACAGGUUAGUUUCCUGCGCACAUUACUGUGGGAAAAUCCGUCUUUGCAUACCAUUCUUUUAAUGUGAGUUCGUUGAAAAUUUAAAGGAUAGAAUUCAAAUUUCAGCAAUAAACUCACAUAAGUCGGGAGAACCGCGAAAAUACAGAAAACAAUCUAUUUAAAAUGGGUACAAAUACAAUAAAUGAAUCAUUUAUUCAAAUUUUUUCCAGUUGGAAAACAGAAACUUUCAUUGAUUUAUUGACAUUAUGCAACAUAAUUUACAAUCCCUUAAUUUAAAAUAUCACAUUUCAAAUGGCCAUGCCCUAACCUAGAAACUAGUCUAAAAAAAUUAAAGGAAACAAAGUCCCAAAAAGGAGUAUGAGAUAAACUUCUGCUACUUUAUGGAUUUGAAAGAUAUAAAAAGUAUCCGCUGAGCUAAUUCUAUACAGUUCAAUGUACAGCAGUGUAUUUAACCCAAAAUGUAAACUGAAAUAAACGAACAGGAGGUGCCUCUAUUUCUACCUAAUUUAAGAUGGGUUCUUCACAAUCCUAACGCUGCUGUAGAAGCGCCUAAGGUCCUUCAUAGCCUUUUCCUCAAUCUGAAUUGAUCGAAUCGAUGAGGGUGUAUCCACCUCUGGUUUGAACCAGCGGUUCACUCCAGAAGCAUCCAAUGGUGAACCCUGACCAUUAGUGACUGAGAAUCCAGCCGUUUUAGUCUUUGGACUGUGGGAAAGACUAUGAUGUUGUUUUCCCUGAUUUGAGACAUAAAUAAAGACAGGUAUGAGAAUGGUAAAUUAAACGCUUGAAAUAUACAUGACUCCACAUGUGGCAACAAGAAAACAACUCAAAAAGAAUGCAUGGAAUUCAGUACACAUAACAAAGGAUAUUAAUGGUCCAAACACAUAAGAAGAGAGAGAGAGGGUGCAAUUCACAUACCUGCUGCAUUUGGAUGUCCCUAAGAGAAGGGCGAGAAAGAAGGGGAGGAGUUCCCGAAGCAGUCCAAGGAGGUGUACCUCUUUCUCCAUCAGAUGCCACUGAAGUAUGGGUUGCAACCACUGGUAUCGAGACCACUGGUAUUGGCUUGGAAGGCAAAAACGAACUCAGUAGAAUCUUCCCAUCACUUCUAGCAUUGAAAGGAUCUUCUGCAUGACCUCUGUUCCUAGUUGACUGACUGUCCUUGGUUUUGCUUUGCUCAUCCUGAAUCGCACGAAGAGAUGCAAAUCCUUUCGGGAUUUUAGCUCCACCCCAUGCAGGGCCUUCACUUUUUGGGGAUGGUGGGGGUGGUACAAUGUAUUUGGGGGCAUCAUCAAGAGCGCCACUCAAGAACAUAGAAAGCCCACCCUUUUUAUUCUUCUUCUUGGAAGUUAUUGGUGAUGAACACUUAUUCUUUGUUAGGUUUAAAUUGUCCUUCUGAACACACAAAGCUGACUCCUUAGUGGUUUGGUUUGUCAUAAUCCCUUCACUCAUGGCAUCUUCCUCCUAUCAAAGGUACAAUUCAAAGAAUUUAGCAAAUGAGAUGAAUUAUUGCACAUAUCGUUAAAAUAUGUGUUCCCACUAAGUUGUAGAGAAUAUUUUAACCAGGGAAAGGGAUACCAAAAAUCAAGUCUUGUUUGGGAAGAAGGCAAUAAUCCAAUAGUAAUUACGAAAUGCAAGUUCCGAGUAAAUUGCACACCAAGAUCAAGUAAAAAUGUAAGUGCAGUUAAACUACUAAAAAAUGGGUGCAAGCCUUGAUGUUCAAUCAAAUUACAUUUUGCCAUCUAGGUGGCAAACAAGCUAUGGAAAGUAAUAAAGGGUGAGACCAAAAUCAUCAUCCUGUAUUUUGGAUAAAGAUUUUUAGCACAAAUGAUCCCUGACCAUAUAAAAGCCCUCACUUUAGUCCUCAAACUUUUGAAUCAAUCAAUGUGGAUCCAGUCUUUCGGUCCACAUUCUGACCCCAAAAAAAAAUCUUUUGGUCCACACAUCAAUUUGAUCCUUGUCAUCGCAUUCCAUCAAAAUUUUCGCUAAAACUAGUCUCGUGUCAUCAUCUGACAAAAUUUGAAGGGCUAUUUUUCAUCAAAAUAUAGCUCAUCCGCCCAAUACACAAAGUAAAGCUCACGCCUCUUAACAAUUUCAGGGACCAUUCAUGAUAAGAACCCGUUGGAUAAUGCCAAACAGCAAGUAUGAAGUUGUUAACCAUCAUAAAUGCACGUCAACAAAUUGAAAAGAUUUCAAACCGCAUUCAAAGAUUCAAACAUCUCAAAAGAAAAACACAAUCAUCUCAAUUAGCUGGAAAAAGAUGAUUUGGUGAAUAAUCAUCUUUUACUGAAAUCAAUUCAAACUUGAUAAUAAAACGAAUUUUGGAAUUUAACAAGCUCACCUUAUUUUUUGUGGUUUGAGAGAUUUCAAUACUCAAGAAAUCUUUUGUGUGUUUUGGUUCUACUUCAUCCCCCGGAAAAGAAGACCCUAUAUCCACUGGUGUGGCCAUCUGUUUGUUCUUUCUCCUCUGUUUUUUUGAUAGCUCAACCCUUUUGUUCCCUUUUCCAUCUGGCUGAACGGAAGAUGAUGCCUUCAAUGGUGGUGUCUCAACUGGAACACCAAGCUCAGCAAGCUCGCUUUCAAGAGCUGGCCUCGUCUGAAGCUUUGUAAUUUGCUGGUCAUCAAGAAGUUGCCCACUAGACUGUUUUGCUUCAAGCAUCUCAAUCUGCUGCAACUUUUUCCGCAAGGCUCGAACUUGCUUGCCGAGACCAUGAUUUAGAUCAUCUUUGGGCUGUAGAAAGGAAUCUGGUCUUUGGUGUAUUUCAUUUUUCGAUGUGGAUUGCUUUGUAUGGCCGUCACGUGUCCUUUGAACCUCAUUCUCACUACCUUCCUCUUCACUAUAAAUAGUAGCAGGAAAAGUAGCUGUAGGAGUUGGGAGACGACGGUAACUCCAUGGUUCAGAUGACCUUAGGUCCAAUAUAUUUUCAAGGUUAGCUAGAGCAUCUGUUGAAGCACUAGCAAUAGCUUGUGAUGAUACCGUAAAUAUAUAGUCAAGGUUGCGUAUGGCAAUGUCCUGCAAUAACAAACACAGCUUCAAUAAUUAAAUAAUUAAGUAGCAUGUAAACUACAAAUCUGCAAAAACUUGGAUCACAAGUCCCAUAAACAGAAGCAUGAGACAAUACUACAUCGUCUUGUAGUUCUUAAAGUGUUCUAGACAAUAACCUGCCCUCCACUAUACUUCUAUGUUCCAAAAGAAGAUAAAGCGGACUGUAUUGGAGAUAUUGAUAACUAAACCACAAAAACUUACUGGAAAAAAAAAAAAAAACACUCAAAGGCCACCCAGAAUCGGCACAUACCACCUUAUAUAUUAGGCCUGAGAGUGGAGAUAUCCAGGUGACCCAACAACAGGAAUCAUAUAUAUAUAAAUAUAUUCAAAUCACAAAUUAUUAUGACGUGAGGUCCAAAAUUCCUGUUGUAUAAUAAUUACACAACGUAGGCAGAUGAUCACAACACAACCAACAGAAAGCUGGACAUAAAUUCAAAUCUGAUACAAUUUGAAACAGGUUAAGAGUUUCAUAAUUUUCCUUCACAUAUUGAGCAGUCCAUGAGGAAGAAUACCUCACAAUACUUCUGUAAAUCAUCUGCCACGAGUGAAUCAGCAAUUUCAAGCAGUUGAAUAGCAUUUCGUGGCUCCACUAGAUUCUCUCCUGCCACUUUUUCACAAAGACUUUUUAAGGUUGGUAUGGGCCCCUUAUCAGUAUCAUCGUUUUGGAUAGUAGGUAAAAGAGUAUCGGACUCCAUAUCAUUGAACAUAAGAUCUUCGUCAAGCUCUUCUAGCUCAUCUUUGACAUUUGACUUCUGCUUCUGAGGGUUCUUCACCACAUUGGAAGGAUAGACAGGAUGAUAAAGGGAACCAAUAAUCAAUACGUGUGUUUCACCUACAGAAACUGAAGUAGCCCGUUUUGUACCAUGUAACCGAGUUGCAACUGGUGGCUUAUCCUUACCUUUCUUCCCAUCCCACAUGUAAACAUCACCUGUAGCUGUAACGGCAGCAGUCCAGUAUUUCCCUGCAGAUAUGUUCACCAUAUUUCUUCCACCCAGCGAAUACAACUAGACAAACAAAAAAACAUAGAGAAGAUUAGAGAUUGACAUGUGCUGCUAGAAAGGAUUAGACAUUCAACAAAAACACUAUUAUGCUAAAGCAAAACCUGUUGGCAUCUUAGAUCAGGAUCUGAUGAAAUCCAAUAAAAUAAUGCACCAUCAUCUGUCAGAGCCAUGCUAUGUACCAUCCCUGCAGCUAUAGAAACCACAUGAAGCCGUUCUUUGCGAUGAAACUUCAAAGUGGUAUUUCCACUCUUUUUCAAGUUUCUAGCAACUACAACACGUUUGGGUGUAACAAUUCGAUGACCCCAAGUGUAUACCUGGUACAUAUAUACAUACAGGAUUUAGCUCAACUACCGCCAAUAGGUGGAGAAGUAUUCACAAGAUAGCAAAGGUAAUAAAAUAGGUUGAAAAUAUAUCUUGAACUGAACAGGAGAAAAAAUCUAAUAUGUGAGCCUAAGAGAAGAAUAUGUACUGUUAAAUCGGGUUAAAAUUACCUCCCCGUCAACUCCCAAGACAAUUGUGUGAAAUUUUGCUGCUGCAACACCCGCAAAAACCUUGCCUUUCAAGUAUUCAACUCCUCUUGGAGUGUAAUUUGACGCAGAGUUAGAUGUACCGUAGCCAAGCUGACCCUCCCUAUUGCAGCCCCAUGUGAAAACCUCACCAUUAUCAGAAACAACAGCCGUGUGCUUGUUUGCUGCAGCAACUGCAACAACUUUUGAUCUAAGGGAACUCACUCUUCGAGGUGUAGGUUGGGUGUCCACAGAAGUGUACCCAAGCUGACCCUCUGCACAACAUCAUGUGAAAAUAAUCAAUUUUCCAUAGUCUUCAGAUGCUAGCAACACAUAGAUCAUAGAUAAAUCUUUUACUAAUGCCAGAAUACGUUAAAGGAAAAUAAUAAAUUUUCUCAUAUAUCGAAUCGUGCAAGGACCCAGUAAAUAAAGACAACUAAAUUUGCGCUUCUUUUGUUAUGAUAGGUAAGUGGUGAGCAAAUUGCAAACACUUUUGGUUGGAAGUCCUCAUGAUUUACCUCUGUUGGAUCCCCAAGUAAAAACUUCUCCACCCUCUGUAGCAAUAACAGUGUGAUGUUUAGCUGCAGCAAUUGCUUUUACCCGACGGGAC